CCCUUAGAUGUCCUGGGCCGCACGCGCGCUACACUGAACGGAUCAGCGCGUUUUCCCUUCCCGAGAGGGACGGGCAACCUGCUGAACCCCGUUCGUGGUAGGGAUCGGGGCUUGCAAUUAUUCCCCGUGAACCAGGAAUGCCCAGUAAGUGCAAGUCAUAAGCUUGCGUUGAUUACGUCCCUGCCCUUUGUACACACCGCCCGUCGCUACUACCGAUUGAACGUUUUAGUGAGGUACUCGGACUGAGCCUCAGAAGAUUCACGUCUUUUGUGCUGCUCGGGAAGAUUCCCAAACUUGAGCGUUUAGAGGAAGUAAAAGUCGUAACA
rnacentral:rRNA from 1 species